ensembl:snRNA U6 U6 spliceosomal RNA
GCGCUCGCUUCGGCAGCACACAUACUAAAAUUGGAAUGAUACAGAGAAGAUUAGCAUGGCCCCUGCUCAAGGAUGACAUGCAAAUUCAUAAAGCAUUCCAUAAAAAU